rnacentral:rRNA from 1 species
CCUACGUGUGGCAGCAGUAGGGAAUAUUGCUCAAUGGGGGAAACCCUGAAGCAGCAACGCCGCGUGAAGGAUGAAGGUUUUCGGAUUGUAAACUCCUUUUGUUAGAGAAGAUAAUGACGGUAUCUAACGAAUAAGCACCGGCUAACUCCGUGCCAUAAGCCGCGGUAAUACGGCGGUUGCACGCGUUACUCGGAAUCACUGGGCGUAAAGCGCGCGUAGGUGGGAUAGCAAGUCAGAUGGGAAAUCCUAUGGCUUAACCAUAUAACUGCGUUUGAAACUGUUAUUCUAGAGUGUGGGAGAGGUAUGUGGAAUGCUUGGUGUAGGGGUAAAAUCCGUAGAGAUCAAGAGGAAUACGCAGUGCGAAGGCGACCUGCUAGAACAUAACUGACGCUGAUGCACGAAAGCGUGGGGAGCAAACAGGAUUAGAUACCCCAGUAGUC